rnacentral:rRNA from 1 species
UACGUAGGGUGCGAGCGUUAAUCGGAAUUACUGGGCGUAAAGCGUGCGCAGGCGGUUUUGUAAGCCAGAUGUGAAAUCCCCGGGCUCAACCUGGGAAUGGCAUUUGGGACUGCAAGGCUCGAGUGCGGCAGAGGAGACUGGAAUUCCUGGUGUAGCAGUGAAAUGCGUAGAUAUCAGGAGGAACACCGGUGGCGAAGGCGGAUCUCUGGGCCUUACCUGACGCUGAGGCGCGAAAGCUAGGGGAGCGAACAGG